UAGGUAGCGCCUCAUGUAUCACUGUAGGGGGUAGAGCACUGUUUCGGCUAGGGGGUCAUCCCGACUUACCAAACCGAUGCAAACUCCGAAUACCUACAAGUGCCGAGCAUGGGAGACACACGGCGGGUGCUAACGUCCGUCGUGAAAAGGGAAACAACCCAGACCGUCAGCUAAGGUCCCAAAGUCAUGGUUAAGUGGGAAACGAUGUGGGAAGGCUUAGACAGCUAGGAGGUUGGCUUAGAAGCAGCCACCCUUUAAAGAAAGCGUAAUAGCUCACUAGUCGAGUCGGCCUGCGCGGAAGAUGUAACGGGGCUCAAACCAUGCACCGAAGCUACGGGUAUCACCUUUUGGUGAUGCGGUAGAGGAGCGUUCUGUAAGCCUGUGAAGGUGAGUUGAGAAGCUUGCUGGAGGUAUCAGAAGUGCGAAUGCUGACAUGAGUAAGGACAAUGCGAGUUAAAAACUCGCACGCCGAAAGACCAAGGUUUCCUGCGCAACGUUAAUCGACGCAGGGUUAGUCGGUCCCUAAGGCGAGGCUGAAAAGCGUAGUCGAUGGAAAACAGGUUAAUAUUCCUGU
rnacentral:rRNA from 1 species